rnacentral:tRNA from 1 species
AUGUAGUUCAGUUGGUAGAAUGCUUGUUUAAGAUGUAGAAAGUCCUGGGUUUGAUCCCCAGCAU